GGUCUCAAACUCCUGACCUCAAGUGAUCUGCUUGCCUUGGCCUCCCAAAGUGCUGGGAUUACAGGCGUGAGCCACUGCAUCCGGCCAUUUUAGCUAUUUUUUAAGUGUGCAGUACAGCAGCAAAUUAUAUUCCCAUUGUUGGGCAACCGCCACACUCUAUCCGCAGGACUUUCUCAUCUUCCCCGGCUGAAACUGUGCCAGGACACAGGCACAGCUCCCGACUGACUCGAUCUUUGAAGAGUGGCUGCCUCUCAGUGACGGCAGUGGUUGAUGAGAAAAAGAGCCCAGGCAUUCAGAAAUGCUGAGUUUCCCUAAAAUCCACCUGGUUUCUGGGGCCUGUGCCACUGUGGGUGUUGGUAGACCUGUGUUGUUGCCUAGGAGAGCGAGCCCUGCAAAGGAGCCGGCACAGCCCUAGUUGGAGAAGCAGUUAACCACGGACUGGUCACACUGGGGCUGCCUCAGGCAGUGGGGGGUGGAGGAGAAACCACACAAGGCCAGAGGCAUCUCUGGGAACUCCUGAGCAUACCUUAGAACCAGCAGCCUCCUCCCGGCACGGGGAGCAUUGCGGAUCCUCACGUGGAGCUCGGUUGAGUUCAGCGCCAGGCUGUCUGGCGGUGACUCGGGCACGGGACAGAUCCUGACUUGCUGGAGCAUUCAGAGGUGUUCAUUAUGGAAUCCCUGUGGGUUUCCUGUCUCUGUCCUUCCGGCUUCAGUUCUCCAUCUCCCCAGGGAAUCCUCCCCAUGUAACAUCAGGCUGUGACUCAGCCCCCAGCAUCUUUCUCCC
rnacentral:lncRNA from 1 species